AGUCGAGCGAAUGGAUUAAGAGCUUGCUCUUAUGAAGUUAGCGGCGGACGGGUGAGUAACACGUGGGUAACCUGCCCAUAAGACUGGGAUAACUCCGGGAAACCGGGGCUAAUACCGGAUAACAUUUUGAACCGCAUGGUUCGAAAUUGAAAGGCGGCUUCGGCUGUCACUUAUGGAUGGACCCGCGUCGCAUUAGCUAGUUGGUGAGGUAACGGCUCACCAAGGCAACGAUGCGUAGCCGACCUGAGAGGGUGAUCGGCCACACUGGGACUGAGACACGGCCCAGACUCCUACGGGAGGCAGCAGUAGGGAAUCUUCCGCAAUGGACGAAAGUCUGACGGAGCAACGCCGCGUGAGUGAUGAAGGCUUUCGGGUCGUAAAACUCUGUUGUUAGGGAAGAACAAGUGCUAGUUGAAUAAGCUGGCACCUUGACGGUACCUAACCAGAAAGCCACGGCUAACUACGUGCCAGCAGCCGCGGUAAUACGUAGGUGGCAAGCGUUAUCCGGAAUUAUUGGGCGUAAAGCGCGCGCAGGUGGUUUCUUAAGUCUGAUGUGAAAGCCCACGGCUCAACCGUGGAGGGUCAUUGGAAACUGGGAGACUUGAGUGCAGAAGAGGAAAGUGGAAUUCCAUGUGUAGCGGUGAAAUGCGUAGAGAUAUGGAGGAACACCAGUGGCGAAGGCGACUUUCUGGUCUGUAACUGACACUGA
rnacentral:rRNA from 1 species